AUGAAGACCAUUCUCAUCCUUGCCCUCCUUACUAUCGUGGCGACCACCGCCACAACUGCAGUUAGAGUCCAAGUUCCACAAUUGGCAGCAACAACCAUUUCCACCACAACAGCCAUAUCCGCGGCCGCAACCAUUUUCAUCACAACAACCAUAUCUGCAGCUGCAACCAUUUCCGCAGCCGCAACUACCAUAUCCGCAGCCGCAACCAUUUCGACCACAACAACCAUAUCCACAACCGCAACCACAGUAUUAGCAACCACAACAACCAAUUUCGCAGCUGCAGCAGCAACAACAACAACAAUAGCAACAACAACAGCAACAAAAACAGCAGCAACAACAACAGCAGCAGCAACAACAACAACAACAGCAACAACACCAGCAACAACAGCACCAACAGCACUGUGGCAGAUUCCCGAGCAGUCGCGGUGCCAAGCCAUCCACAAUGUUGUUCAUGCUAUUAUUCUGCAUCAACAACAACAACAACCGUCGAGCCAGGUCUCCUUCCAACAGCCUCAACAACAAUAUCCAUCAGGCCAAGGCUCCUUCCAGCCAUCUCUGCAAAACCCACAGGCCCAUGGCUCUGUCCAGCCUCAACAACUGCCCCAGUUUGAGGAAAUAAGGAACCUAGCGCUACAGACGCUACCUGCAAUGUGCAAUGUCUACAUCCCUCCAUAUUGCACCAUUGCUCCAUUUGGCAUCUUCGGUACUAACUGA
rnacentral:rRNA from 1 species